ACACUGGGGGAGGUAGAGGUGGUUAUGGUGGGGACAGGCGCAGAGACAAUUACGGGGAUGGUGGAGGUUCUGGCCCUGACAGGCAUCACCACGGGGGGCAAAGGUCACGUCCGUACUGAAGAAUCCAUGUUGAAGAGUUGCAGUGACAAGCAUUUCAUGUUAACUAAGAGUGUCAAAGGAGGGAAUUCUCUCAAUUGGUAUUUGCAAGGUUGUACCAGAGCCAGAGACUUAAAAGAGACAAGUGGAUAAUCUACAAAUUGCUGGUAGGUUGAGAUUUUCAGAAUGAUGGGGCGGGAGAUGCGAUGCUAUGCUCAUCCCUGGCCAUCAUCAUGUCUUCUUCAUGGACGGAUUCUCUCAUCAUAUGAAGAUGUGUUUACUAGAAUAUAUACCACGCACAUCUAUAUAUAAGUGAGAAUGGUGGCCACUCAUCAGGUGAGGUCCAUAAACCUUCUGCAGGCUGGAAAAAUCAACAUCAGUUAUCAGGUGGGCUGUAUGCUUCAACAAAUAUACUGUUGGUCA